rnacentral:rRNA from 1 species
UAUUAUUUUAUAUAAAAGAAUUGGUCUGAGUAGUAAAAUUAUUAAUUAUAAACUCAAAGAAUUUGGCGGUGUUUUAGUCUGUUCAGAGGAAUCUGUUUCGUAAUUGAUAAUACACGAUUAGUUAUACUUAAUUUAUUAAUUUAUAUACCGCUGUCGUAAGAAUAUAUUGUGAAGAUAAUUAAAUUUCUUUUUAUAUAAUAUGAUAAUAAGUCAAGUCAAGGUGUAGUUUAUAAUUGAGUGAUUAUGGAUUACAAUAAAUUUAUUUAAAUGGAUUGUUAAUUUAAAGUUGAUAUAAAGGUGGAUUUGAUUGUAAAUUGAUAUGAAUUAAUUAAUUGAUAUGAGCUCUAAAAUGUGCACAUAUCGCCCGUCACUCUCAUUUAUGAUGAG